rnacentral:rRNA from 2 species
GUCGAUGAAGAACGCAGCAAACUGCGAUACGUAGUGUGAAUUGCAGAAUUCCGUGAAUCAUCGAGUCUUUGAACGCAAAUUGCGCCCUCGGUUUGAAGCCGGGGGCACGUCUGUCUGAGCG